AAAGAAGCGCCAGAACCCACUAUCUGAUUUUAGUUGUGAGGACUGAGGACCGAAUCAAAAUACUCAGCACUCAGCAUUGAAGAUAAUUGUGGGUUGACGAGGGGGAGGUUUAUCGAAGUUUUCGGCGGAUGCCUCCCGGCCCGGUCACGGCCGUGAACGGCACCACAAAACCGCGGGGCAACCGGCGGGACAAAAG
rnacentral:ncRNA from 1 species